rnacentral:tRNA from 1 species
GGGGUGUGGCUCAGUCUGGUCUAGAGCGCCUGUUUGUCGAACAGGACAUCGCAGGGUUCAAAUCCCGCCACCCUCU